GGGCCCGUGGCCUAGACUGGAUAGGGCACCAGAUUGCGGAUCUGGGGAUCCGGGGUUCAAAUCCCUGCGGGCCCGCCA
rnacentral:tRNA from 1 species